rnacentral:rRNA from 1 species
AUUGAACGCUGGCGGCAUGCCUAAUACAUGCAAGUCGAGCGGAGCGUCGGACGGGUGAGUAAUGCCUAGGAAGUUGCACGGUAGUAGGGGAUAACGUCCGGAAAGGGGCGCUAAGACCGCAUACUAGAAGAUGAGCUUAGGUCGUCGUAGCUAGUUGGGGGGGUAACGGCUUACCAAGGUGACGAUCCGUAACGGGUCUGAGAGGACGAUCGGUCAUACGGGAACUGAGCGACGGUCCAGACUCCUACGGGUGGCAGCAGUGGUGAAUGUUGGACAAUGGGCGAAAGCCUGAUUCAGCCAUGCCGCGUGUGUGAAGAAGGUCUUCGGGUUGUAAAAUACUUUCGGCAGGGAAGCGGUACCUGCAGAAAAAGCCACGGCUAACUACGUGCCAGCAGCCGCGGUAAUUC